AUUUUGCAUGCCUCUAACACUAACAUAAAAGAAGAUGCUCUUUCUAAAUUACUUGGUCCAUAGAAUAGUGGGCGAUUACGAGGGAUUGGAGGUGGAGUUUGCUAUACAAAGUAUUCCAUAUUAACUCAAAGGGAGUCUACUGUAGCUCAUUUAAAGGAAGAACAAAAUCAUCUAAAGGUUCAAGUGGCGGAUAUGGAGAAAAUAAUCAAUGACUUACUAAAAAAACUGGUUAGUAAGUUCCUUUAAGUGAAAUAUAACUCAUAUGCUUUUACUUCACAUGAUAUAGUAACGAGUUUUUAAUAUUUUUUAUCUUUGUAGUUUCAGGAAAAGCAAAGUGAAGAAUUAUCUAACAUUCAACCGUCUUCAUUGGUAAAAUUUAUCAUUCCUUUUAAUUGAUAAUAUAUAUUUAUUUUUAAAGUUGAUUAUAACCUGGCUCCUAAAUUUGUGUUGUUGAAGAGUGUAAACACUAAUACACUCAACAAUAAGUGUAAGCUACUAGAUUGGACCGGAACAUGAGAAGAGUUAGCAGAAGGACGUUAGUUUUCAAAUGAUCCAAAAAUAUUGGUUUAUCACAUUCCUCUAGGACCUAAUGCUGUGAGAGUUUGGGGUGAUGUAGUUUUGAAACCUGAUACAUUUUUGUGGAGGCCUACUUCUGAUAUGACUUAUAUUGAAGAAUGUGUUGGUACCACAGUUGCAUGGCCAAUUGACAAAGUUGUCAUCAAGUAAAUAGCAUAAACAAUAAGGUAAAAU
rnacentral:lncRNA from 1 species